GCGCGACCGGGAUUAGCCCAGCACCGAAUCCUGUAUCUUUGGUAUUAGGAAUUGUGGUGUAAAGGUUGUGUCUUUAAUUGUUGAAUCAGUCCUAAAUUCACUUGAUUGUGAUGUUGUCCAUAGAAGGUGUUAGACCUGUAGGAAUUGAUGACACUUUUAUUGAUGCUUCCUAUGAGUCGGAUUGUUUGAGAAUGCAGUCCAAAUUUGGUGGUAUACUCCAUCUAAGGCUAAAUACUUGUGUGAGUCCGAUAGCAAACAAGUACCGUGAGGGAAAGUUGAAAAGAACUUUGAAGAGAGAGUUAAAUAGUACGUGAAAUCGCUUAGAGGUAAACGAGUGGAGCCGAAGUUGUAGUGUGGGAUUCAGUUAACUCGUAUUUCGUUUAUUAGUUGAUAAAAUCUGUUAAGGAUUUAUCGAUUUUUAGGCUUUAUGUUGUACAGUUAAUGCACUUUCCAUAUUGCUUUACUGCGUCCAAUAGAGUUGUUUUUCUGUCGUUGUGAUGAAGUUGAUCAUUUGAUUUAUCAAUUGGUUUUAUAGCUCACUUCAUGGUUAAACAAUGUAUUGGUUAAUACGAUAGAUCUAUGUUGAUGAUUAAUUAUGUUGAUUGAUUAAUGAUAGACUAGGUCAGAUCGGCAAUAUUGACUGGUUAAUGUUAUUUUUUAUUGAUUGGUUUAUCUAAAGACAGCAGUUCAUAUGUAGGUUACCUACUUGUCCCGUCUUGAAACACGGACCAAGGAGUUUUAUAUUAUCGCGAGUCAAAGGGCUUUACGAAACCCCACGGCGCAAUUAAUGUAAAGGUUUGCAUUUGGUAAACUGUGAUGUGACCUCAUGCAAUUUAAGUAGAGAGUGCAACAUCGACCCGUCUAAAGGUGUUCGCAUCUGGGCGGAGUUUGAGCGAUAAUGUAGAGACCCGAAAGAUGGUGAACUAUGCUUGUGCAGGUUGAAGUCAGAGGAAACUCUGAUGGAGGAGCGCCGCGGUUCUGACGUGCAAAUCGAUCGUCGGACAUGAGUAUAGGGGCGAAAGACUAAUCGAACCAUCUAGUAGCUGGUUCCCUCCGAAGUUUCCCUCAGGAUAGCUGGCAUUUUGUUGUAGUUUUACCCGGUAAAGCGAAUGAUUAGAAGUAUUGGGGACGAAAUGUUUUCAACUUAUUCUCAAACUUUAAAUGGGUUCGAAGUGCAUCUCGUUUAAAUAGAGAUGUACAUUGAAUAUGAAUGCCUAGUGGGCCAUUUUUGGUAAGCAGAACUGGCGAUGUGGGAUGAACCAAACAUCUAGUUAAGGUGCCUAACAUCAUGCUCAUGAGAUCCCACAAAAGGUGUUGGUUGAUAAAGACAGCAGGACGGUGGACAUGGAAGUCGUCAUCCGCUAAGGAGUGUGUAACAACUCACCUGCCGAAUCAACCAGCCCUGAAAAUGGAUGGCGCUGUAGCGUGAGACCUAUACUGGAUCGAUAUCGCAAGUUGUCAGCAAUGAUGAUGAGUAAGCGGUAUCGUGUAGGAGGGUGCCGUGGUUGCUAGAAAGGCUGGCGUAAGGCAGAGUGGAGCGGCCACGGGUACAGAUCUUGGUAGUAGUAGCAAUAU
rnacentral:rRNA from 1 species